rnacentral:rRNA from 1 species
GACGAACGCUGGCGGCGUGCUUAACACAUGCAAGUCGAACGGAAAGGCCCUGCUUUUGUGGGGUGCUCGAGUGGCGAACGGGUGAGUAACACGUGAGUAACCUGCCCUUGACUUUGGGAUAACUUCAGGAAACUGGGGCUAAUACCGGAUAGGAGCUCCUGCUGCAUGGUGGGGGUUGGAAAGUUUCGGCGGUUGGGGAUGGACUCGCGGCUUAUCAGCUUGUUGGUGGGGUAGUGGCUUACCAAGGCUUUGACGGGUAGCCGGCCUGAGAGGGUGACCGGCCAAAUUGGGACUGGGGAACGGCCCAGCCUCCUACGGGAGGGAGCAGGGGGGAAUAUUGAACAAUGGGCGGAAGCCUGAAGCAGCACCGCCGGGGGGGGGAUGGCGGCCUUCGGGUUGUAAACCGCUUUCGCCUGUAACGAAGCGUGGGUGAGGGUAAGGGGGAAAGAAGCACCGGCUAACUACGU